rnacentral:rRNA from 1 species
GUGCCAGCCGCCGCGGUAAUACGGAGGGGGCUAGCGUUGUUCGGAAUUACUGGGCGUAAAGGGCGCGUAGGCGGUCAUUUAAGUUAGGCGUGAAAGCCCCGGGCUCAACCCGGGAACUGCGCUUAAAACUGAGAGACUAGAAAACGGAAGAGGGUAGUGGAAUUCCCAGUGUAGAGGUGAAAUUCGUAGAUAUUGGGAAGAACACCAGUGGCGAAAGCGGCUACCUGGUCCGAUUUUGACGCUGAGGCGCGAAAGCGUGGGGAGCAAACAGGAUUAGAUACCCUGGUAGUCCACGCCGUAAACGAUGUCUGCUAGAUGUCGGGGGGUUGCCCCUCGGUGUCGCCGCUAACGCAUUAAGCAGACCGCCUGGGAAGUACGGUCGCAAGAUUAAAACUCAAAUUAAUUGGCGG